GCCUGGGUGGCUCAGUCGGUUAAGCAUCUGACUUCGGAUCAGGCCAUGAUCUCAUGGUUGGUGAGUUCGAGCCCCACAUCGGGCU
rnacentral:tRNA from 1 species